UACGGAGGGGGCUAGCGUUGUUCGGAAUUACUGGGCGUAAAGCGCACGUAGGCGGCUUUGUAAGUUAGGAGUGAAAGCCCGGGGCUCAACUCCGGAAUUGCCUUUAAGACUGCAUCGCUAGAAUUGUGGAGAGGUAAGUGGAAUUCCGAGUGUAGAGGUGAAAUUCGUAGAUAUUCGGAAGAACACCAGUGGCGAAGGCGACUUACUGGACACAUAUUGACGCUGAGGUGCGAAAGCGUGGGGAGCAAACAGGG
rnacentral:rRNA from 1 species